UACGUAGGGUGCAAGCGUUGUCCGGAAUUAUUGGGCGUAAAGAGCUCGUAGGCGGUCUGUCACGUCGGAUGUGAAAACUCGGGGCUCAACCCCGAGCCUGCAUACGAUACGGGCAGACUUGAGUUCGGCAGGGGAGACUGGAAUUCCUGGUGUAGCGGUGAAAUGCGCAGAUAUCAGGAGGAACACCGGUGGCGAAGGCGGCACUCUGGGCCGAUACUGACACUGAGGAGCGAAAGCGUGGGGAGCGAACAGG
rnacentral:rRNA from 1 species